rnacentral:rRNA from 1 species
UACGUAGGGUGCGAGCGUUAAUCGGAAUUACUGGGCGUAAAGCGUGCGCAGGCGGUUCGUUGUGUCGGCGGUGAAAGCCCCGGGCUCAACCUGGGAAUGGCCGUUGAAACUGGCGAACUGGAGUGUGGCAGAGGGGGGUGGAAUUCCGCGUGUAGCAGUGAAAUGCGUAGAGAUGUGGAGGAACACCGAUGGCGAAGGCAGCCCCCUGGGCCAACACUGACGCUCAGGCACGAAAGCGUGGGGAGCAAACAGG